AUUGCUUCUGGGCCUUUUGGCUAAGAUCAAACGUAGUAUUUGUUCUUAUCAUGUUAAUAUCUGGUAUGUUCGGAAUCAGAGGACCAUAUAUUAAAUGGGUUUUUGGAGCAGAGAGAUGGGGUCAGAGCUUCUCCGUCUACUCCCCCCUCUGACUGGUGUUGCACUACUUCCAGGCAUGAAAAAAAAAAU
ensembl:snRNA U2 U2 spliceosomal RNA